rnacentral:rRNA from 1 species
GGCUACUCGAGUGGCGAACGGGUGAGUAACACGGGGUUGAUCUGCCCUGCACUUUGGGAUAAGCCUGGGAAACUGGGUCUAAUACCGAAUAUGAUCAUGCGCCUCCUGGUGUGUGGUGGAAAGCUUUUGCGGUGUGGGAUGGGCCCGCGGCCUAUCAGCUUGUUGGUGGGGUAAUGGCCUACCAAGGCGACGACGGGUAGCCGGCCUGAGAGGGUGACCGGCCACACUGGGACUGAGAUACGGCCCAGACUCCUACGGGAGGCAGCAGUGGGGAAUAUUGCACAAUGGGCGCAAGCCUGAUGCAGCGACGCCGCGUGAGGGAUGACGGCCUUCGGGUUGUAAACCUCUUUCAGCACAGACGAAGCGCAAGUGACGGUAUGUGCAGAAGAAGGACCGGCCAACUACGUGCCAGCAGCCGCGGUAAUACGUAGGGUCCGAGCGUUGUCCGGAAUUACUGGGCGUAAAGAGCUCGUAGGUGGUUUGUCGCGUUGUUCGUGAAAACUCACAGCUUAACUGUGGGCGUGCGGGCGAUACGGGCAGACUUGAGUACUGCAGGGGAGACUGGAAUUCCUGGUGUAGCGGUGGAAUGCGCAGAUAUCAGGAGGAACACCGGUGGCGAAGGCGGGUCUCUGGGCAGUAACUGACGCUGAGGAGCGAAAGCGUGGGGAGCGAACAGGAUUAGAUACCCCUGGUAGUCCACGCCGUAAACGGUGGGUACUAGGUGU